GGUUCGUUAACAUUUUGGCCAGGAGUCAUAUCGAACUUGAACUACGCGUGUGCCCGUCUCGAUAAUUGGACACUUGUACGUAAUAUUUAAUUUAGUUUACGAGACACGUAAUUCUACAAACCUAUUUGGUGAUCGAAUCAUCCGGCUUAUAUUUUUUUUAACUCGUAAACAAUGCGCACGCGAGACACAAUUUCAUUUUUUUUUUUUAACGAAAACCAGGAACGUUCUCAAGAUUUUUGUUUGGGGGAGGGGGCUUAAAAGUUUUCCUAUUAUCAUUACACACAGGUAAACAACUGACACUAAUUUUUAAAUAAUCAUUUUUUUUUUUUAUUAUUAAUAUUACCA